rnacentral:rRNA from 1 species
GAUCCUGGCUCAGGAUGAACGCUAGCGGCAGGCUUAACACAUGCAAGUCGAGGGGCAGCAUAAUGGUAGCAAUACUAUUGAUGGCGACCGGCGGACGGGUGCGUAACGCGUAUGCAACCUACCCUUUACAGGGGGAUAACACUGAGAAAUCGGUACUAAUACCCCAUAAUAUUCUGGGAGGCAUCUUCCGGGUUGAAGCUUGGUGGUAAAGGAUGGGGCAUGCGUUGUAUUAGCUAGUU